GAUGAACGCUGGCGGCGUGCCUAAUACAUGCAAGUCGAGCGAACAGACGAGGAGCUUGCUCCUCUGACGUUAGCGGCGGACGGGUGGGUAACACGUGGAUAACCUACCUAUAAGACUGGGAUAACUUCGGGAAACCGGAGCUAAUACCGGAUAACAUGUUGAACCGCAUGGUUCAACAGUGAAAGACGGUUUUGCUGUCACUUAUAGAUGGAUCCGCGUCGCAUUAGCUAGUUGGUAAGGUAACGGCUUACCAAGGCAACGAUGCGUAGCCGACCUGAGAGGGUGAUCGGCCACACUGGAACUGAGACACGGUCCAGACUCCUACGGGAGGCAGCAGUAGGGAAUCUUCCGCAAAGGGCGAAAGCCUGACGGAGCAACGCCGCGUGAGUGAAGAAGGUCUUCGGAUCGUAAAACUCUGUUAUUAGGGAAGAACAAAUGUGUAAGUAACUAUGCACGUCUUGACGGUACCUAAUCAGAAAGCCACGGCUAACUACGUG
rnacentral:rRNA from 1 species